GGCUCAUCAUUCAUGUUCACAGUGGAGGUCCUGAUCCUCUUCUCAACUGCAAACCCAUUGUUUUUCAGGAUUUCAGUGAUGGAGACGACAGUCGAAAUAGCCAUUCCGAGGGCCGAAAGCUCAACUUCAUUGUGUUGCUGCAUAUAUCUCUUCGCCAGAUUGACAUAGAAGAAGAGGGGCUUCUUCGUGUUGGAGACCUGGAUCCGAUUUUUCUUGUGUGACUCGGCGUUGGUGAUGCUGAGAUUCUUAACUCCAGCGGCAAUGUCGUCGACCUUCUGAUCGGCCUUCUUCGCCAUCGCUGCCGCCGAAACCCUAACCCUAGAAAUCGAUGCGGAAAUUGAGGAGGCGGAAGAGGGGAAU
rnacentral:misc_RNA from 1 species